UACGGAGGGGGCCAGCGUUGUUCGGAAUCAUUGGGCGUAAAGGGCGCGUAGGCGGCCAAUCAAGUCCGACGUGAAAUUCCUCGGCUCAACCGGGGGCCUGCGUCGGAUACUGCUUGGCUUGAGUCCCGGAGAGGGUAGUGGAAUUCCCAGUGUAGCGGUGAAAUGCGUAGAUACUGGGAGGAACACCGGUGGCGAAGGCGGCUACCUGGACGGGUACUGACGCUGAGGCGCGAAAGCUAGGGGAGCAAACGGG
rnacentral:rRNA from 1 species